GAAUCAAGAACUCCUUCAUAAAACCUGGAAAAUAAGAAAACACAUUCAAGAACAAGCAUUGCAUAAAUGCUGUUAGAAAGAUCAAAGCGAAGUUGUUAGAAUGGAGAUUUGCAUAAAGUUCAGAAAUUUCAGCCAAAGAUGUCUAGCACAAAUAAAAAGUCAUGAACUAAGUUCACAACUAAGAAUAAAAAGCACUUGGUGAAGGGUUUUUCCCCCCUUUGGGUGAAUGAUGCAGUUCUUUGCACUGAGCUAACUUUAGGCAUGAUUCAGCUCUCACAUAAAGCUGGUCAAAAGGUCAAAAUACAGCAACAGAAAACAUCCACAUUCUCCAUUUACAAAUUGCUUAAAUUAAUUUUAAAUCCUAUUCAGCCAGACUAGAUUUAGUCCCAGUAGGCAUAAGUAAUUAUUAAACUAAUCCAAUUUCGCAUGUGAUGUCAGUAUGGCAUAUGCUCUAGAGAGAAGCAAACCCAGAGCUAUUCUGUUUUAACUGUUAACAACUAUUAAGCUUAUGGCCACUAUUGACAAUUUCAAAAGUAAUGUGUAACCACGAUUGAAAAAGUGCAAAUAGUUUUGGGACAUUUAAUUGGUCACUUCCCUAUUAUAUUUCACAACUCCGUCAUCAAGAGUAAACACUCACCACCUGCCAGUCUAGUCUACAUGGUAAAGACAAUAAACACUGUCCUGGUGAUGCAACCACCUCCCAGUCAAUUUGCAAGUGUCCGUUCAUUUAUUUCUCUUUUUUUAUCUAGUCAUUGCCAUGGCAUGCAUAUGGCCAUAUCCUAUACUCAAAUUCCAAUUUUAACUUUUCCAGCUCCUAGUCCCUUCUUUUUUCAGAGUUAUGGUGGAAAGCCCUAAAAAUUCAACAAAAGUAGUUAAUCCUCUCUCUCUUGCAAGAUUAUGAAGAUUAAGACACCUAAAUGAUAGGCACAAAAGAAGAGGUAUUUUAUCAGCCUCAGAUUUGGGAUUUGAAGGUGAAAAUGCCGUCAUAUAUAUACAUAGUAUGAAACUUUAACAAAUCCUCUGGUAACGGAUGAUUGAACACAAGUAAACCAAAGAUACUUUUAUAUUCCUGAAAAAAAUCAAAGAAAGUCUAACCAUCCAACAAAAUACCAUAGAAAAAUGAACUAUAAUAAAACUAAAAGUCUUAAAGGUAUCUCACGUCUUGUCCUUCGGCCACCAGA
rnacentral:misc_RNA from 1 species